AAAAAAGUAGUGGGAUGGCGUGACGUCCGCGUGUCCGUCUUCCGUAGGUAGAUCAUUUAAUUCGUCUCUGUGUUGUGUUCUGAAGAUGAAACGGCGGUGACUCAAGCUCCUGACGCCGAUGGGAGUGAGGCACGGCAUGGUACUAACUGGAUCCAUGACAGGCAUUGGGUCAGGGUUCAGCUGCUUCUUCUCCUCCUCCCCCUCCUCCUCGUCACUGCUGUACUCUUCCAUGACGCCGUCGGAGAAGUGUAGGACACGGCGUGGCUGUUUCUGGCUCUUGCAGCGGCCUUCCUCAGCCUCUGGGGGGCUCUCCUAGAUGUAUAUAAAGCCUUAAGAAUCCAGUCGUCCCAAGUCUCCUGCUCAGAAUGCAGUUAUAUCCUUGCUUCUGGAAAUACGUGAAUUAUUAUUAUUUUCCAAGUGUCACCUCCACUGUCUCGCCCACUCUGCAGUUUCCCCUUGAUUGGACUUUGUGAGUAUACUGAGAACAUAUUGUAGGAGACUUGUUAACUGGCUGUUGCCAGAUAAUGAGCAUCAUAAGUUGUAUGUGUUCAAAGGAUGCCACAUUAUUUUUUUUAUUCAAUUAUUUUAUCCAUUUGGGCGUAAGAGACUCAAUCAAGAAAACACAAGAGGCUAGACUUUGAUGGUAUGGGCAUGUCAUGAGGAGUAAUGGAGAAAAGAGCACUGGAAGUACAGGGAAGACCCAAGACAAGAUAGGACUGCAUAGCACCGGAUAUGAGAGAAUGGUCUGAAUACUAACAUGGCAGGCUAUAGAGGCAGGUGGAGGCGGCUCAUCAAGAACAGCGACCCCAUGUAAAGAAGGCUAAUAAAGCUGACAAAGAAAAAGAAAACUCAGUAAAGAUCCUCUUUAAUGUGAGGUAAGGCUUUGCUAGUUCAGUAUUUUUAUUUAUUUAUUAUUUUUUUUACGUCUAUGCCUAUAGCACCGGUAGGCUUGCUUGAGGAGCCUGGAUGAUAUUCGGCCCCAGCCCGUCAUGGCGCAGGCAAGUGUUUAUAGUGGCACCAUCUUCUCUUGGCUCAUUCUACCCCCCGGAACUCCUUCUUGAUUCACUUUCCCCUAGAGUCCAGGUUGAUGGGUGGUCUUCAGGACAGCAUGUGGGUAGUUUUAAGCCACUCGGCGGUGACUGAACAAUCCGAGGUGGUAGCGUGGGGAUUCAAACUCGCGUCGUCCAUCACGUGGUGAAUGUGGGCCCAGCACGCUACCACUCAGCCAUCGCCUAUUGUGACUUAGAGAAAGGGAUUUGUAUUAGUAAAUGUUUAUUGUAGCAACUUUCUCAUCAGAGCCUCCCAAGGAUAUGUUCCUUUUGGUUUUUAUUUACAAUAUAAGCAUACAAUCAAUACAAAUGUCUCUCAUAGUAUUCUGCUGCCCCUUAUUUACAAUAAAAGCUCAGUAUCUGUACAAUGUACACUUUCUUAUCAAUAUACAGAAAACUUCAGUGCCAGUAGGUGCCAAAAGCACAUCCAGAUCGCAUAACAAUCAACUAAAGUGAUACAAAAAAUAGGAGACUGAAAAAUAUGGCAAAACAGAUCAAACUAUCAUAGAAAUACUGACUGAUGUGAAAUUGAGUUCUUUUUAGUCAGGCAUCUUUCAACCAUAACCACAGAGUAAAUAUCAUUGAUCUGUACCAGUUUUGAUGAUUAGUUACUAAAUUAGCUGCUAUGCCCCCCUUUCUCAACUCCUUGACCUUCCUCAAAGGCCAGAUAUUUAGAAGGCUAAUGAAAAGAUUGACAAUGAAAUGUAUGUGCCUGUAUUUGUGUCCAUAAAUAGCUUUAAUUGUAAAUA